rnacentral:tRNA from 1 species
AAGGUCUUAGCUUAAUUAAAGUGUCUGAUUUGCAUUCAGGAGAUGCGUAUUAAUAUUUCGCAGGUCCUA